rnacentral:rRNA from 1 species
CAAUAGCGUAUAUUAAAGUUGUUGCAGUUAAAAAGCUCGUAGUUGGAUUUCUGGUGGGAGCGAUCGGUCUGGCGCUUAGCGCGAGUACUUGCAUCGUCUCCGGCCAUCCUUGGGGAGAGUCUGUCUGGCAUUAAGUUGUCGGGCAGAGGAUCCUCAUCGUUUACUGUGAAAAAAUUAGAGUGUUCAAAGCAGGCUUAUGCCGUUGAAUAUAUUAGCAUGGAAUAAUAAGAUAGGACUUUGGUACUAUUUUGUUGGUUUGCGCACCAAAGUAAUGAUUAAUAGGUACAGUUGGGGGUAUUCGUAUUCCGUUGUCAGAGGUGAAAUUCUUGGAUUUACGGAAGACGAACUACUGCGAAAGCAUUUACCAAGGAUGUUUUCAUUAA